rnacentral:tRNA from 1 species
GUUCCUGUAACGCAAUGGAUAGCGAGUUGGACUUGUAAUCCAAAGAUCGUGGGUUCGAAUCCUACCUGGGAUG